CAGAACAUGACCAAUGCUGCAAGACAUGAAAAGUAUUGAGGGUUUGUGAACAUUUUCCUGAUAACAUAAUUCUGAAAUAUUGAAUCCCAACACGAUGGCGUGUAUUUCAAUACUUGGAACGACAGGCAAAUCUCUCUCCAAGAUAACAAGUAACUUUUGAUAUACAUCAAAAUAUUUAAUAAUACUGUAAGGGUGUGUUACUGCUGAUGAUUGCCAAAAACACGGUAAUGCGAGCAUUGGUAGGUGGCAGUCGGUCACCAACGGAAGUUGAAGCUGACCUUACAACUUGCGAGCUACAGCGGAUGCUGAGAAAGAAUUAAACACACCACAAAAGUAUGACAGAAUUAUGAUUGUGGCAACAGAGGUGCAAGACAGAAAAAGUACUGCUGCAGAACAAGACAAGGAAGAGAAACCUACAAUAAUUAAUUUAGGCAAUUUAACUUUAGUUAAUUAAAUUUGUGAUGCCUAAUACAAUACAGAAGUUUAGCUUGAACUUCAGCUGAAUAUUGUGAUGCCGUAAUCCUGGUGAAAGAGAACGUACAGCGGUUGUAUUAUUUAUGAAGCUAUUGCAGCAUCAGGGCAACAAUUGCUUAAUUCUGAAAAAACCGAUCAUAUUGUACAGAAGAUAUGAACUGGCUAAUUACAACAUGACUAGAGAACCAGAAACCUAAUGUAAUUUAAUUAAUAUCUAUUAUAUAAGCCUAUAUAAUGAAUUGUUGAUGCCUAAUUAUUUACAUUAUGUGAUUUUGGUUAUGGAAAUAAAAAAUAUAAGUAGUGUGUUGUCUUUGCUGUUGAAAGUUUGAAGACUGACGGAUGCAGGUAAGUUAUGAAAAGUUGUUGCAGCAUCAAGAAAACAACUGCUUCAUUCUGAAAACUGAUUAUAUUUUACAGAAGAUAUGAACUGGCUAAUUACAAUCAAACAAGAGAACCAGAAAGCCAUAGUUAAACUUGCCUAAUUCGACCUUGCCUACCUCAAAUAAUUUCCAAGUCGAACUUAUUUUACAUGCCAAACUGUUUUUCAUUAAUUAACAAUCUGUAAGUCAAAUUUAAUCCAAGUCGAACAAUUUUUCAGUGGCAUUUUGGAUUCGACCUAGGCAUGUUGAACUCUACUAUAAUUCAUUAAUAUGAGCCUAGCAGAUCAUUUUGAUAUUCCAUACAAUUUACAUUAUGUGAUUUUGUGAUAAUACAUAUACUGGUAAAGCAGUGUUUUGAUGUUUCUUUGCUGCUGCAGUUGUGAAGACCGAUGGAUGCAGGUAAGAAAAAGCGCCCUCCAAUAGAAAAAGGCUAAUUUUUCCCAUGUCCCUCAAUUUCUAUUAAAAGUGGUGCUGAAGGGUGCCCUCCAAUAGAAAGCCAAAAUUUCCAGGGUCUCUAAAAUUAUUUAAAGGGGUCCUGUGUGGUGCUGGAAACCGCCCUCUAGAGCAAUUUUAGUUCAACGUUUUUCGGUGGUGUCUUAUUUGUCAUUAAUUAAAUUAAUAAGGUGGUAGUGCCCUCUAAUAGCCAGUUUUUAUGCUAUUAUGAAAAAAUUGGAUGUUAGAGGGCGCUUACUGCCAUUGACAGUUAAGACACCCUAAAAAACUUUGGAUUAAAAUGGCUAUUUAGGGCGAUUUUCUUCACUAUUUUUAUCAGAACCGGACAGAUUAUUGUGGCCAAAUAACUUAGUCAUAUUUAGGGCCUUUUUCUA